rnacentral:rRNA from 1 species
UACGGAGGGUGCGAGCGUUGUCCGGAAUCACUGGGCGUAAAGGGCGCGUAGGUGGCGCGGGCAGUCAACGGUGAAAGUUCGGGGCUCAACCCUGAAUCGGCCGUCGAUACUCCCUGCUCGAGCACUGUAGAGGCAGGUGGAAUUCCGGGUGGUAGCGGUGGAAUGCGUAGAGAUCCGGAGGAACACCGACGGCGAAGGCAGCGCCCUGGCCGCCAUCUGACGCUCAGGCACGAA